GCGAACGUGUCCAAUUGACUUUUCAUCCUCGCAUAUUACUCGCGCAUUGCCGGCAUAUUCACUGAUAAACGACGUUGAUUCGAUAAUUGCUCGUUACUUGUUGCGCUCGUUACAUGACUGGUUAAGCCCGUUUAGUGUCGUUUGCGUUGUCUACCUUAUUGUGUGCCCAACAAACGUGCAAAACGUUACAGUAACGGUUGAGCUAUUCAACUGUUGCAGUGCUACAAGUGCAAAGGAAGAAAACAAUGAUUUUGUUUUUAAAAAAAGACAAAAAGUGUAAAGAAUCAUGUAAAAUGAUAAAUUUACCAAAUAUAAGUAAAUGGAGGAAAAAAUUAAAGAAACAUUGCUGUAAAGUCGGAAAGUAUUUUGUUUUCGAGCGUCCAUUUCCGCAUAUGUUCAUGGUGCUGGACCCUAACCUGGUUCGUUGAUUCUAACCUAACCUCAAUCGCAUAACCUCAAAACAUGAAUAAAUUGACUUUCAAUCCUACCAAAGACAAAUAAUUGCAUUCAAAUAAUGACCAUUUACUUAAUUAAUUAAUUAAUUUAAUUAUCAUGACAUAUACUUACUGUUUUUAAUUAAAUAUACAUUACUAAAACUAAACUAAAA